GUCAAAGUUACAUUCUUUAUUUUCUUUAAUUGUUGGUUUUCACAUGAUCGGUGAGUGUGCAGGACGGUUGUCAGGAGAUGCAUUUAUAAGCUGUUAUGUGAAAGGGUUUUGAAAUAUAUCAAAUGCAUCAUAAGGCAAGAAUUCACACAGCAAGUCUUGUGGCUAAUCCUUUGCUUUGAGGUAAGCAGCAACCGUGGGAGGUGGUGGAGUAAAAUGUUUAGUUAAUAUUCACUGCUGGCGGGUUAUUACAGUUGAAGUCAUGAUAGAGCGGCUGAAGGGCCUUCGAGGGGCAUCGCAGCAAGUAUCCCUCCCUGGGCACCAGACACAAAGAACCGACUGACUUUUGUGAUGAACUUUCCAAACGAGCUGUUGCUACAGCCGACAAACCGACAAGCCGGCCGAGGGACCCGACUACUUCCCCUGAGCCCGACGACAAAAUAGAUUUGUCGCAAGCAAACUACAAUCUUCCUUUGAAGACAUGGAUGACAUAGUAAAACCGAUUGCACUUGAGAGCCGAUUCCAUGACUAUUUUGCUGCAACAGCGUGAAUGUCAUCACUCUUUCUUAUGCGAAGAUUGUGUCCAGAUCCAUGAAAUCAGCCAUGGCUUUGUUCAAAAUAUAAUAUCAGGAAUACAUAUGUUGAGGAGCAAGAAUUCUCUGUCCCCUUUCAAGUCCUGGGGGGACUACGAAUCAAAUUGACAAGAGACAGGUAAAUGGGAGAAAAUCAAAUUUAAUUUUGUAUGUAGACAUACAUACAAUUUUUUUUGUAUGUAUUUUGUAUUUUGUAUGUAUUUGUAUGUAUUUUGUAUGUAGACACACAGAUAGAGACAUUCCUAGGGUAGUCAGGCAAAAUUAAGGAUGCAUGUCAUCCUGAAAUAAGGAGAAGGGAGUAAAGAUCUGGGACUUCAACAGGAAAGGAAUGCAGUUC
rnacentral:lncRNA from 1 species